CACACACAUCAUAUAGCAAAUUAUAAAAAGAAAGAAAGAAAAAGAAAAGAAUGGGAAAUGGGAAGAUGGAUUUCCAGGCCAAUAUGUGAGGGGAGAAGAAAGGGACUGAUAAGAAAGCAGGAAGCCGGCACCGCGUGGGUCAGUGAGUCCAGCUCAGCGUCUAGGCUGCGGCCACGACAGCAGCACAUGGGGCUCAUUCCAGGAUGAGAUGCUAACUAAAAGUGACACGUGUGCUUCAUAGAAACCGACAGCCCUACCUCAAUGUAACUGGUAUUAUUUUUGCAGGUGAGAUGAAUGUACGUACUUAUGUUUAGGAUUUAACAGUCCCUUUGCACAUACCCAUGGGUCCGUUUGUGUAUUCUCUGGGGUGCAAACAUCUCUUGGGAUACUCUUUGGAACAGACACAUAGAUUACCAGAGGGGUAUGUGGGCUGGCCCAAGAGGACACAGGAAGGUGGAGGGGAGUAGAGGAUUUCUCUUUGGCACCACCCACGUACUGCCACUGGACGUCCCAGCAAAGCUUCUGGAGAAGAGAAGAAUGAACGUUGCUAUUCCAGUCUUCUGUGCCGCUAACAACAACAAUACCCGAGACAGGGAGAUUGACAAGAAUAAAGGUUGGGGCCAGCCAACCUGGUGAAGGCGUGGUGGCUAAGGCGGCUGGAUCCCACAUGGCCGACUGCAUGGCUGG